CCAACCAAACUCCUGCCACCCUUGCAGCCCAAGCUGUCCACAGCCCUCCUGCUGCAGCUGGCAGCAGCCACACCGUCCAGGCAGUGGGGCCAAAAACCAACCAGCCAGCCCAAACCACCCACCCACCACCAAGCACAAGUCCCGAGUCACACCUGGCCCCGCUGUCUCUCACACCUGCUCCCAGUUUAUUGGGUGCCCCCUUAGGCUCAGGCUUCUGGGGCUCACUUCUCCCUACCUCCCCAGGGCCCCUCAGGAACCGUCAGUGCCUCUCUACUGCUGCAGCGGCCUCCCAACAAGUCUUCUGACCCCACUCAGCUGCCACCGUGACUCCUGAAGCUACAGAUUAGGCCACGGCUUCAGGCUUCAGGCCCUGGGUGGUGCCACGUCUCAGGAUAAGUAAAAGCUGGAUGCAGUGGCCUGGGAGCUCCAUGAGCCCUGCCCCCCUCCCUGGCUGCCCUUGCCUCCCCUCCCCUGCCUUCAUUCCUCAGCUCCUGCCCUGGGAUAUCCUUCCCUCUAGUGUCCAGCUUGCUGCUCCCUCACUCCUCCAGGUGUGGUGUGGCUGUUGCUAUCUCCUGCCACCUGCCCUGGCCACCCUGUGGUCACCUGACCCCCUCCUCAGGAUACCUGGCCUAUGGCCACAGGGACGAGCACCUCUAACUCCUGUAUUGUGUCACGUCCUUCACUGCCCCAUUGCUUUUGGACUCCUGUAAAUGGCAGUGAGCCCAGCCCAAGGCAGCCCCCAGCCACUGCCGUGUGCAACCUUCACUGUCAGCCCAGGCAAAGUUGGCUGCGCAGGCAGCAGUCCUGCAACCUAUGUCUCUGGCUGCUUCUCCAGCACCAGAUGGAGACACACAGGGUAGGUGCUCGGCUGGUCUCUGUCUAAUGGCUGCUGAGAGAAUGAGCGAAUUCUCUCCCUGCCCUCGCCCCUGUCUGUGCCCCUGGGACACUGAGGGAUGGGAGGGCUGGGAGAGCCAAGGGUUCUAGGGGAUCUGAGAUGCCCCUGGCAUCCUCAGUGAGCCCUGCUGGACUCAGAGCUGCUCUGGGCCCUGGGCUGCCCUGAAGGAGGAAGAGUCCUUCUCUCCUCCUCAGCCUUGGGGCCCAGUUUGCAGGUUGUGUCCAGGAAGCCUUGCCGGGCCUCCACCUCCCUCCCUUGUCCCCUGCUGUCCUCAUCCUGGGCUUGUCAUCCGGAGGAAACACCACACUGCGAGCACUGCCAGAGGGGCGCCUGGUGCACAGCAGGAACUGCCGACCUCACUGCCACCGGGGCCCUGCCCUCACCAGGAGCUAAUAACCUGCGGGCUGGCACGGCCACGCUGUGGAAGGCAGACAAUGUCACCCACUUUGCCACAGAGGUGGCCAUGUCAAAUGUGCACAGCCAGCCCCAAGCCUGUGCACAUGUGCCCAUGGAUCCCACAGACUUGUGACUCAGAAGGAGCAGCUCCUGGCACCCAGGGUCCUGGGUCCUGCCCUGGGCCAGCUAUGCUGGUUUAACUCCUCUGCAUUUUGUCCCCUCCUCUGGGAGGAGCAGAGAGCAGCAGCCCCGUCGUGGGCACGCUCUGAAGAUGAGGCCUCAGUCAGUGAGCACUCAGCAAUGGCAUCAUGGCAUCAUCACUCGCCUGGAGCCCCUCCUAGGGCUCCCCUGACGCCCUGCCCGCCGCCUGCCAUGUGGAGCCUCUGCUUUCUCGGUGCCUGGACAGAGGCCAGGUGGGCAGGGGAGCACUUGGGGAACCUGCCUGGCCUGGCCCAGCCCAGCCAGACCAAGCAGCUGUCACAUGGUGAGAAGACCAGCUGGUGCGGAACCCGUGGGAGCCAGAGGAGGAGGAGGUCGGGCGCAGCCCCGGCCCAUGGCCCUGUCUGUCCCAGGCUCCUAGCAGGUGCCUGGGCACACCUGCCCAGGGAGGGCACUAUGGACAGGAGCUCCCCGGGUAAACAGCCGGCUCCUGGUUCUCCUCUCUGACUAUGAGCGGUGAAAGUGUCUGUCCCCAUUCAUCUUUGUGAGAAAGCACCAGGCUGAUGUAAUUAAGCCCGUGCAUCUGGUUGCCAUAGCGUUCCUGCCAGGGCCAGCCCCAUCAGCGGCAGAAGUGGGUCACACGUUUGCCUCCUCCUCGUUCUUGGACUUCUGUAAAAUAACGAUGAAUCAGAUCCACGUGUGCACCUCGGCUGUUUCCUGAGCUGUCCAGGUCCGUGAUGAGCUGCCAGCCAGAGGGGGUGCUCUGCCCACUGGCUCGUCCCUUCUGGGUGCCAAUUUAUCUCUGGGUUCCAAGGUCUGCUGGCAGCUUCCACGGUGGAGGACUGUGCACCUCACACACAGCCAUGGGAAGUCCUUCAGGUAGUCUGACCUUGUGCCUUCCCUGUGCUGUCUGACCCAGGCUGUGCUGCAGUGCACGGACCAGGGAGGCCUGUAGAUCGUGAGGGUGGGUGGGGCUUGGUUCAGUGUGUGCUGCCUCUUUAAUUGGCCUGGGGCUGGGGAGCCAGCAUGGCGUCCUGCUCUCCGUCCUGC
rnacentral:lncRNA from 10 species